GGGGGCGUGGUGGAAUUGGCAGACGCAGAGGACUUAAAAUCCUCCGACUUCGGUCAUGUGGGUUCGAGUCCCACCGCCCCCACCA
rnacentral:tRNA from 4 species